UUUCAAAUGAGGAGUUGGUUCUCGACAAUGGAACUUCAUUUCAUGACCCGUGUAUUGAUCAUAGAGUCGUCACGUUGGAAAGGUUUGCUGGUCUCCUAUUGCGUUAGUGUUUGUUAUGCAGUAGUUAUGUUAACAACAUCGUUUCAUAGGUCAUUUGCAAACAACCAUUGAUGCCUGUGGUCUUGGAAA